rnacentral:misc_RNA from 1 species
ACGCAUCGUCGCCAUGCCUAUAUCGGUCCUAUGAAGGCUUCACUCGUUGCUCCCGUGUGCUUGUCAGGAGUCACCUCCGGAUGGGUCGCGGUUCGACGCGUGGUGCCGUGUCGUAGUGAACCUGAUGGCGUGUGAGUGGUGUUUGGGUCGCGUGGGUCGGCAGGCUCCUUGCUCGUGCAACGAACUGUCGCCCCACCCCCCUCUUCAUUCCGAGCCCCAAGCGCCGCAACGGGCCUUGGGUGCCGCGAUAUCGUGGUUCCUGUGUUGCCUUCCUAACGGAUGGAAUUGUCCCUCGAACGUUGCCUAUCUCCGCCCGGCUCCCGCUCACGCGGUGCGGGCGGACCUCGAAAGCGGUCGCCGCGUCCCACGGUCGCCCCACGCGUGCACACGCACGAGGGGGGUCGAGCUUGGACCGCGACGGCCGCUCGUGCUCUCGGAUGCGGAACCUUAAAACGAGCGUGGGGUCUUCGGAUCCCGUACUCGCUCGAGCUAAGCGUUCGUCGCUAGACGCGUACGACGGCCGUCACCGUCUUUGCCCUCCCGUCCCGCUCCCCUCGGGGGGCGUCGGCCAGGCGCAUGCGGUGCCGGCGUCGCACAGGAAUGC